rnacentral:lncRNA from 1 species
AGUGGGACAACAGCAAAUCGGCUGGCUCUACACCAAGUGGUUGUCUCACUCGCUGAGCGUAUCUUUCAGUCUGUCUGUGACUAUGUGUGUGUGUGUGUGUGUGCCUGUUUGUGUAUCGUUACCUGUGGCUUCAUUGCUGCUUACCUGCCAUAUCUCUGAAAAACAUAACGAGGCACGCACACACACAGCCGUCAGCCGAACCCAGCGAUGCAGCUGCUCGUCUCUGUGUGUGUUUUGUGUGAGGUGACAUAUAAACUUCCAACCCGAGUCGCAAUUAUCUUAGCCAUUUUCCGCUGAUCAACAGCUAAGCUAAACUCCCAUUUGUAUUAAGCAGUCCAUCCACAAGCUGCAUCGUGAGCAGAGCAGGAAGACUCUCACACCACACGCACACACAGAUGUCGCAGGCUAAUGCAGUUGUUGCCCUGCAGGGAGAAUCGGAGAAUUGAAAACACGCAGAAGAGAAGGCAGAAAAUGAAACAGUUAAGAGACAACAAAAACAUGCGACGAACGCGAGUAAGAGAGGUAGAUAAGAUUACACCUGUGUGUGUGUGUGUGUGUGUGUGAGUGUGUGUCGUGUGUUUUGUUGUAUGUGAUUGGAGUGCUCGCCUCUCGCUGGGAGGGGAGAAUGGGUGAGUGGCGGAGGGUUGGCCAGAGUGCGGGAAAGGGGUGAACAAACCGGUAAUGCAUUUACUCAAAAAAGAAGUCACCUUCAUCACAAAUUCAACGCGUUGCUGCAAAAAAAAACAAAUACAAAACUAUCAGAAAGAGGUGCGACAGCAGGGCUGGUGGGAGAGAGCAAAAGAGAGCAAUAGAUCGACCAUGAUGUUGUUUGCAUACGAAUCUACAUACAUAUGUACAAACAUACAUAUGCACAUACUACAUAUACAUAUGAUGGUCAAAUAACACUUGGAAAUAUUGGAAAACACUUUACGCCACUUUAUCACCAAUAGAAGCUUGUUUUCCGCUCUCGAAACCGAAAUUUGUGGACGAGGAUUAACCGAUAAACACACAUACAAUGUUUAUUAUAUGCAAAUAAUCCACUCGAAAAGCUUCCUGAAAUGGCCGCCAAUUAAUCAACUAGCCAUAAUUCGAUUUGAACGAGGGGUGCAGAUAACAGAAACAACGAAAUAUUCU